rnacentral:rRNA from 1 species
UACGGGGGGGGCAAGCGUUGUUCGGAAUUACUGGGCGUAAAGGGCUCGUAGGCGGCCAACUAAGUCAGACGUGAAAUCCCCAGGCUCAACCUGGGAACUGCGUCUGAUACUGGAUGGCUUGAAUCCGGGAGAGGGAUGCAGAAUUCCAGGUGUAGCGGUGAAAUGCGCAGAUAUCAGGAAGAACACCAAUGGCGAAGGCAGCUCUCUGGGACGGUACUGACGCUGAGACGCGAAAGCGUGGGGAGCGAACAGG